rnacentral:rRNA from 1 species
GAUGAACGCUGGCGGCGUGCCUAAUACAUGCAAGUCGAGCGAACAGACGAGGAGCUUGCUCCUCUGACGUUAGCGGCGGACGGGUGAGUAACACGUGGAUAACCUACCUAUAAGACUGGGAUAACUUCGGGAAACCGGAGCUAAUACCGGAUAAUAUAUUGAACCGCGUGGUUCAAUAGUGAAAGACGGUUUUGCUGUCACUUAUAGAUGGAUCCGCGCCGCAUUAGCUAGUUGGUAAGGUAACGGCUUACCAAGGCAACGAUGCGUAGCCGACCUGAGAGGGUGAUCGGCCACACUGGAACUGAGACACGGUCCAGACUCCUACGGGAGGCAGCAGUAGGGAAUCUUCCGCAAUGGGCGAAAGCCUGACGGAGCAACGCCGCGUGAGUGAUGAAGGUCUUCGGAUCGUAAAGCUCUGUUAGUAGGGAAGAACAAAUGUGUAAGUAACUAUGCACGUCUUGACGGUACCUAAUCAGAAAGCCACGGCUAACUACGUG